UCUAGAGUAGACUGUUCUCAACCAUCUAGAGUAGACUGUUCUCAACCAUCUAGAGUAGACUGUUUUCAACCAUCUAGAGUAGACUGUUCUCAACCAUCGCGACUCAGACACUUCCUAGUACAUCGUUUAUGUUACACCAGCACCUAGAAAAUAGACGUUAGCUCUGUGUCCAUCUCCUCCAUAUGGGCGUUUUAACCCAACAGACAAUGAGAGAGAGAGGAAAGUAAACCCAAGAGCAAAGCACAGAAUGAAGAAACAGAGGCAGUAUGUGUACUGUAGUCAGCACCAAGGCUACGUCGCUAGCUAGCUAGCUGUAAUCCCAGGGGCUGUUUGCUUGUUGGUGAUGGUUUGUGUUAGCGAUGAGGCAGGGGUGUACAGAGAUGUAAUGGGUUGAGGGAGAUAGCCAUGUCUCCAAAAACCUAAGGUGAGUUUUCUGAAAGCUUUAUGGCUAACGUGGUGCUUCAUUUCUCUCAACAACCCAGACUCAAGCCACAUGUAGAACAUCAAACAUUGAUUUUUCAAUUGGUGCUCUCGUGGUUGAGUUGUCAAGAUAUACAAAGUGCCACGUUAGCUAUAAAGCUUCUGGGACACUCUGAGUUCUGAGGUGUGUGGCAGGAAGUGAGAAAGGCUAAGGACAGGUGGUGUCUAGAUGACUUAAGAAGGAGUUUCAAAAGCGGUGUGUAUCAGUGUUACGGUGUGACGUGACUGAAGAGGUUUUUAGUUGAUCAGACAGACAUUUGUCCAUGGUAAGACAGACAUACAGACAGUUGGUUUGGGUCGAGACGGGGCUGGUGUGAGAAUGAAAACCACUGACUAAAGGGUUACUGACUCAGUCUUUGGUCGGAUGACAGACCUCACCUCCUUGACGUAGACUCAAACCAACAUGUCUGGACAUCAUCAAACCAACCAACAUUCGCACACUCUCUCUAGGAAAAGUCCAUGAACUAAUAUUUGUUUUCUUUAUCCAUGUGUGUAGAGCUGUGUUUAACAAACUCCAGAGAAGAGGAGUGACACAAAGAAAAAUAAAGAUGAGUUUACUACUCUGUGA